rnacentral:rRNA from 1 species
CGCGUGAGUGAAGAAGGUUUUCGGAUCGUAAAGCUCUGUUGUUGGUGAAGAAGGAUAGAGGUAGUAACUGGCCUUUAUUUGACGGUAAUCAAUCAGAAAGUCACGGCUAACUACGUGCCAGCAGCCGCGGUAAU